rnacentral:misc_RNA from 1 species
GACAUUCCAGUGCAGCGAAAUAGAACAAACCGAAUAAUGCUCUCUAUGCGCAUUUCGGAAUGCACUCCUGUAGACUUUAUUCAUGCUUUUCGGAACGCUGUAUACCGACUCUUGUAAUCUUCCAUAAAAUUAUCGACGGGACGAGUGAAACAGAAAUUGGGACGUGUGAACUGUGAAAACUUUUGUAUUUUGUGCGUGAGUCAAUUUGCAGUUGGAUUAUGGCAUAUGUUAAUGUAGCCGAGUGGAAAGCCGAUCAGGUGUGCGAGUGGUUGAAAGGUUUGGAUAGCACCGUGCUUCCCUACAUUCACAGCUUUCUAAAUCACGAUGUAAACGGGCAGCAGUUAUUAAACUUGCAAUCACAGGAUUUGGAAGAGUUGGGCGUGAUAAAGCUUGGUCACCAGGAAAUCAUUCUUGAGGCCGUGGAAUGCCUUAAGGGAUUCCAUUAUGACCUCGAUAAAGAAAAUCUGCAGCUACUGGCGCUGCGACUGUCCAGCCAGGCGCACAGUUUGCACAAAGAAUUGUGUCGUCAGAGGGAUUCAGAGUCGGUCACCACUCAAACGUUGUCAGAUGUAGCAUCAAUUAUGAUGGCGGUGAAGCCGUUGGUGAGGUGGAUGGAUUAUCCGCCAUUUAGCGGGCACAUAGAAUAUCAUACCAAGAAGAUUGAAUUAAUGAAGAUAUCCAUAGAAAUGGCUACAUGUGCGCAAAGAGAUCGAUUUGCUGAAAAUCCGGUUUAUGAUAUUAGAACGACUUGCAGACAACUGGCAACGUUAGCAGAUUACAUUGUACAAGAAAUCGUCGAUCCUCUUAUUCUACAGCCUGCAAGUUUAGAUUUAGCAACUUUAAAGAAGAAAUCUAGUGAUGAUUUGGGGUUUACCAUUUUACCAUCUUUUCAUGGAAUACAUCAAAUAACUGAAAUUAAACUCGGAUCUGCCGCACAUUUGUCUGGUAAAAUGACGGAAGGAGAUGAGAUAGUUCAGAUAAAUUAUCAAACGGUAGUUGGUUGGGAGAGGAAGAAUUUACUUGAAUUAUUUCGUGAGAGCCCAGCAGAAAUGCUUCUGACCAUAAAACGUAGACCAAGGCAUACUAAAAUAUUUGGACAGAUUUACAUAAAACCGUAUAAACUUCCAAGUAACAAAAAUACUUCUUUUGCAAAACAAGGACGUAAACUUUCGUCUCCUAGACCAGAAUUAUUAACAAUACCUGACUUUGCAAUGCCAUCACCCAGACACAUGCCAAGAGGAUCCGACGGAGAACCAACAAGUAUUUUAGACGCAGUUAAAAUGUUGGAUAUAAUGACCACGGACAGUAGCGACUCCGAUAGCGAAUCAGAAUCGCAGCUUUAUGCUAAACCAAGAAGUUUAGUCCAAAGGCGAGCUACGAUAACAGGCGCCAGUCCCACAUCCAAAUACGGUAUCAAUCUCGAACGGUUUUGGAAGGAGUUCAAGCGAGAGCAUAAUGCGGCCGUUCAGUUGCGUGAUAAAGCAGCAUCUUGCGCCCACGGUUUGGACAAUGUGCCAAUGGUAAAUAUACGGCCCCAAACGUGUUUAGGAUUAGAGUCGGCGAGAAAGAAGAGCAAAACGAGUAAUGAGCAAACGAAUAAAAAGGUGCAAUUUGAAGAAAAAUUAAUCAAUACUGAGAGCGCACGUCCGGACGAUAUAAAGGAAACAGUUACUGUCAUCGCGCGAAACUGUGACGAUGGUGCAAAUAUGAUAAAUAGAGAUACUAAUAUAGAGGAUCUGCGAGCAUCCACGGAUAAUGUCAACGAUAGCAAUAAUUUAAACGAUACAACUGUACCUUUAGACGAACAUAAUUCUGUUAGCGAUACAGGUAGUAUUAAUAAGAGCAUCUUGAGUGAUAAAGAGAUCGGUACGCGACAUAUUAAAAAACUCAGUAAAUCAGACGAAAACCCUAGUAUCUCCGCGUACAAUCUGUCAGAUACCGUUGAGAAAUUGGAUUUGCUUGACUAUAUAUCAAAUAAAAAUUUAAAAAAAACUGAUGCUUGUACAGUUGAUUGUAAAAAAUUUAAAGAUGCAAGCAGCGAGUGUAAAGAAACACCUGCUGAAAGAUGUGACGUUGCUCAAAAAAUUAGCAAUAUCGAGAAGCAGAUUGCGCGUGAGAAUGUGAGAGAACAAGCAAGUGCCUUUGAAGUGUUUAAAAGUAUAGAUGAUGCAUUAAAUAAUUUAAGUUUUGAGAACAGCACAAAUGAGGAAAAUCAGAAUGAUCCUAAACGCAAUAAGUGUGCGGUUGAAUGCGACAUCAUCGUGAACGAACACUUCAAAACUGUUCAUUUGAAAAAUUCGACAUGUAAAUGUCAUGGGAAUGCUGAUAAAAUAAAAUGUAGCAAUAGUAAUAAUAGCAGUAGUAGUACUAAUGGUACUAGUACUAGUAGUAACAGCAGUAGUAAUAGUAAUAAUAGUAGCGACAGAAACAUUAAUGGUAAUAGUGAUAAUAGUAGCAAUAGUUGUAGUAAUAGUUGUAGUAAUAGCAAUAGUAGUAGUAACAGUAGCAUUAAUGAAAGAGAUGAGACAUCACAGAAAUUAGAAAAAAUUUUACAAACGAUUGAUUGUAGUACCUUAAUUUGUGCGGAAUUGGAAAAUAAAUUUUCCUCAGUGCUAUCGAGAGAGAAUUUGUUGCCAAAUAACAAUACUAGAUCUAUCGAAGAUGAUCUGUCAAGUGUUUAUAAUGUUUCUGCAAAGACAAUUAAAGAGGAGAAAUCCGCGGACUCAUCUUCGACGCAGGUCACAGUACAGUCCCAUUGCUGUAUAGAAUUAUCAAAGAUUGAGUUUAUUAAAAGAUUCAACAAUAAGCCUCCGGAACCGCCGCCUCGUAAAUAUUACAUGGAUCAGGCGAUAUCCGACUCAAAAUUGAACAACGCUUUGCGAGCUCCGAAGGACUCGCACAAGCCACAAGUGCCAGAGAGAUCUGGCUUAAAACGAGACUGUAAACAGGUAGAUUUAAGUUCUAAUCAUGUUAAAAGUAAUUCAGAUUGUCAAGACAGAAGAAACUUCUCGGACGUGCGUACGCUCAUUUAUACAGAAAAUUCGACGAACUUUAUUGGCGAACCACGAGCUUUAAGUUUAAGCGAUCAAACAUUUGAUCGUUUAAACUUCUCCAACGCCUUGUUGUAUAAUGAAAGUAAUGACAAGCAAUCGAGAGAAGAGAAAUGUUCUUUUGAAAAAUAUGAACCUUUUGUUGAAAAGUUCGUUUGCUCAGAUCAAUCCAUAACAGACUGUUAUAGGUUUGAUUACUCUCGUAAUGUCGAUUGUCCUGAUGGUAUAACACACACGAAACAAACAGCACCGUCAGAUUUAAAACAGAGAUUGUCAGAGAAGGAUAAAAAUAUUGAAAAAAGUGUUGUUAAUAGAGCUAUGAUGGUAGCUAAGAGUAUCGGCCUCCAUAGCAGUUUGAAUAAAUCCAAUAGCAGUCCGAGAAGCAAUAGAAAACGGAAUAUGUUAUUGGCAAAAGGGAGAAAUGUAUCCGUAAAAGACAUUUGUACUGGUGAUUUAGAAGGAUGGCUAACGUAUCGUAGUAGAGGAGCGGGUGGUGCGUGGGCAAAGGCCUGGUUUGUAUUAAAGUGUUCAUCGUUGUACAGAUUUAAAACACAGGACAGUGUGAAAGCCGAUUGCUUGAUUAUAUUAACGGGCUUUACCGUAUCGCCAGCCGACGAGGUAAAAUCAAGAAAAUAUUCCUUCAAGGUGUACCAUACAGGAACGGUGUUUUAUUUCGCCGCCGAUACUGAGGACAGUUUGAUGCUAUGGCUGGACACAGUUAGUAAAGGCACUUUAGGUGCGGAUGCUCAAAACCAAAGCGUCGGACUUUUCAGCGAGACUGAUGAGAGUGAUAGCGAGAGUCACAAAAGCAAGCCAAAAUGUCCUCCGGAAUCUUCGAAAUUGAAUCCGGAGAAAUCAUUCGGAUCUUUGAAAAAGUCUGUGCGAAAGGACGUCGGAUUGUUUAAGGAGAUUGGCGGGGCGAGCUUAGAUCGAAAAUAUUUGAAAUUUCUCAGUGCCAGAAAUCAGAAUAUACCUGUUCCAACAGCGCAAUUUAGAAGCUAUAGACGAGUGGUUCCUACAUUGACAUCGAACAAAAAAGACGAUUGCAAUUUAAAUUCUUCGGAUUUACAAGUAACAGUCGCUGGUAGCACAUUUUAUGGCUUGACCACGUCUCAAAGUGUUACGGAUAUGUUGAAUAAUCCGGAUAUGAAUGAUUAUCGGCAUACUGCAGACAGAUCUGUUGAUAGAAGAUUCGACAAUUCGCAAAGUUUUUUUACGCAAGAAGAUUUCAUGACAUCACAGCAAAAUGCGGAACAUCAACAAAGUACAAUAAACAGAUCAAUGGUUCCGCACGUGAUGCCUUUGCUUGGUGAUCACAUACAUGUGGAACACAGGAACCUGAAUGAUGACAUGGCAUAUAGCGCGCAAAUUAGACAAUUAAAUACCGAUGCAUUUUCGCUCGACGGCAAUAUUUAUGGCAAGAUUGGCGAUGAAGUGCCGAACAACAAUGUCGUGUGCAUUUAUUCAAGGAACACGAAUGCACAUUUACAUGCGCCUUCUCAAUCCGUCAAAGAUAAUACCAUUACUCUCCGAUCUGAUAGUGAAACGAGUCGCGCGAACGAUAAUAAAUCUUACGGCAGGUGCAUGACAAUUGGACAGAAGAGGAUAUGGGAUUCGUCAAGUUAUGCGCAAAAGAAAAGAGUGCAGGAAUUUGUGAGCACUCAGAAAUCCAGGCAUGACGAUUCGUUUUGUUGGAAAGAAUUUUCCGGAUCCAGUUGUGAUCUCGUAAGUCACGCGGUGCCUAAAACACAACAAUGCGUGAUAAGAGACGUAUCGAUUAGUCGGAAGGAAAGCUUCAAUCUCAAUCGUAACGAUUAUAAUUUAUUUUCCGAUAAAAAUUGGGUAAAUUCACUAAGACAUGACAAAAAGGGCUUGAGCUGCGUCAAAAAUCAGCUGAAGAAUGUUGCGCAAUAUCAACCGCCACCUAUUCCAACGUCGUCCUUUGAACAGGAAGGAAUGCGCGCUGCGUUCGAGAUGCAUUUAGAUAAAAAUGAUCAGAAAACGAGUCGCCUGAAAGUUUUGUUCGGCACCAAACAACAAAAACCUAGUACCUUAGACCUUUCUAAAAAUACUGAAAGUACCGUAUUAGGCAAGUGACUUUUUAAUAAUAGAGGCAAGGAAGGGGUUAUGGAAUACCAUUUUGUUUUCUUACAAAAGCAAGUUCGCCGCCAUUACGCAGAGCGCUAUUUUGUGACAAGUAUUGCUCCAAUCAAUUACAGUCUCAAUUAUCCACUUCUUCCGGCAGUCCGAGUCCUGGCGACAGUGGAAUUGGUCAGUCU